GAGUAGAAGGACUGCUUCUACUUCGUACAUUUGCAAUUUUAUUUUAUUUUAUUUUUUUUUUCAUACAUUUGCAAUUUUAAAAAGGUAUUUCAGUAUGGACAUUUGAAGAACCAAGGAAAUGUGCCUGUUUUCAUCCUUGCCUAUCAACAUUGUGAGAGGGUUGGGCUGUUCUAUCCAACUUUAUUAUUUCCAGCUGCUGUUAUGAAUGGUUUUCGAAUGAUUUCAUGAAGAGCACAUGACUUAGGCAUUGGUGCAGCAGAGCCUUAACAGUGAAACAGUUUUGGAUUACCCAAAGAAAGAAUGGAGAAGAUGGAAUUUUUGAGGUGAUGAUGAGAGGAAAAUAUAUUUACAGCUAACCUGAGUACAGAUGAAAUCUCCAGGAACAUCUCCUUUACUAAGGAAUCCCUUAAUUUAUAGGUCUUAACUGCAAAUCAUAGGGGAUGAUAGUUUCAAGGAAGGAUACUUUUGUCAUCUUUGUCUUUAAUCCCAAGACUGGUACCUACCAUCAUUGAAUCUACCUGUUAAGAUAUUCUCAUUCACGUGUUCUUCACUCCUUGGCAGUAUGAUUGUGAUGACUGAAAAAGAACCUAUAUGCUGAAAAGGAACCUAUACCAUUGUUUCUGUCACCAAAUUAUGGGCUUCAUAAUGUACAGAGACUAUUCACAUGUGUUGCAGUGGACACUCCUUGCAGAUCAUAAAUACUGGACUGAGAAAGCUCAGUUUUGGAAAGUGCUACAAAAGGUGUUAUUGAAGAUAAUUUUAACUAGCCAUGAUGAUUCUUUUCAUUGUUGCCAUUGGACUAAAUCUCAGGAGCUGGGAUGAUGGAGACGUUAAUUGCACAGAAAAGCUCAGGAUUGUGAAAUAACAGGGGCUUUGUUUCAGUGCUUCAAUAAAUAUGAAGUGCAUAUAUUUAUAAUUUCCACCUAUCACUGGGUAAAUUUAAAACUAAUUCUUAAAAAAUUUUUUCAAUAA